AACGAACGCUGGCGGCAUGCCUAACACAUGCAAGUCGAACGAACCCUUCGGGGUGAGUGGCGCACGGGUGCGUAACACGUGGGAACCUGCCCUUAGGUUCGGAAUAACACAGACAAAUUUGUGCUAAUACCGGAUAAUGUCUUCGGGCCAAAGAUUUAUCGCCUUUGGAUGGGCCCGCGUAGGAUUAGCUAGUUGGUGAGGUAAAGGCUCACCAAGGCGACGAUCCUUAGCUGGUCUUAGAGGAUGAUCAGCCACACUGGGACUGAGACACGGCCCAGACUCCUACGGGAGGCAGCGGUGGGGAAUAUUGGACAAUGGGCGAAAGCCUGAUCCAGCAAUGCCGCGUGAGUGAUGAAGGCCUUAGGGUUGUAAAGCUCUUUUACCUGGGAUGAUAAUGACAGUACCAGGAGAAUAAGCCCCGGCUAACUCCGUGCCAGCCGCCGCGGUAAGAC
rnacentral:rRNA from 1 species